GGGUGAGGAGGCUGAGGGUGAGGAGGGUGAGGAGGCUGAGGGUGAGGAGGCUGAGGGUGAGGAGGGUGAGGAUGCCGGAGGGUGGCUUCCGUAGGGGGGGAGGGCAGUGCCCGACGGGAGGCUCCGGGUGCGAGGACCGUCCACUCCAGCAGGGUCGGGCCGCCCCUCCUUUGCGGCUCCGCCCGCCGGGGUGCCGGUCCCCGGUCCGAGCCUGCGCCGCGCCGCCGCCGCCCACCUGGUCCAGGGGGAGACCGGGGAUUUGAACCCAGACCCUUGUGCUUUGUAAUGUGUGCGUUUACCAGGUGUGCCACCGCCCGGCCUCUGGCAAGGAAAGUGUGCUGCAUUCUCGUGGGGGAGCCUGAGACUGGGCAGCUCCUCACAGCCGUCCUGGGAGUCACAGAAGUAUCCUGUCUGCAGCCAUCUCUGACUCCAGACCCACUCGACACAGCCCGCAAGGCUGUGUCCACUCUCCUCCCCUGAAAUGUUCCCUGUAAACAGCAUUGCUGUGAGCAUCACUGUGCAUUUUCUUCCUCAGCUUUGAAUACAUGUUUGCACUGUAUGCACACUUACAAACAUCGCUUUUCCUUUUCUAUAAAAAGCA